rnacentral:rRNA from 1 species
UACGUAGGGGGCAAGCAUUGUCCGGAAUUAUUGGGCGUAAAGAGCGCGUAGGCGGUCCGAUAAGUCGGCUGUGAAAGUCAGGGGCUCAACCCUUGAAAGCCGGCCGAUACUGUCGGACUAGAGUCCGGAAGAGGCAAGUGGAAUUCCCGGUGUAGCGGUGAAAUGCGCAGAUAUCGGGAGGAACACCAAUGGCGAAGGCAGCUUGCUGGGACGGUACUGACGCUGAGGCGCGAAAGCGUGGGGAGCAAACAGG